rnacentral:misc_RNA from 1 species
AUUCGUGGCGCCAGAGACAAGUUUCCCUUUGGAAAUGCUUGCGCUUAUUGCAUCUUUAAGGGAAAGGUUUGAUGAAUUGCUGAUACGAUUUCUUGGAUUCUUUUUGCCCUGUGCUUGCCAUGACCUGUUGAAUUCAACUAAUGUCCUGGUUCCGUCUGGAAUUUCUUCAAGCUCUCGAAUCAAGUCCAGAGCAAACUCAGUUCGGUUUUCAUUCUCUGGGAUUGGAUGCCCAAACUCUGCGAAGAAUUCUGGAAGACUACCUGGUGGGCCAGCGUACACCGUUUGACCAUGUGAAAGGAAGAUCAAACGGUCAAGUAAGCUCAGGAUUCGGUAACUGGGCUGGUGGAUGGACAUGAUCACAAUGCUACCACUUCGGGCAAUUCGCUGCAACACCUUAACAACCAUAAAAGCACUGGUGGAGUCGAGUCCAGAGGUUGGCUCAUCAAGAAACAAAAGAAUUGGGUCGUGAACUAUGUCAAUCCCAAUAGAGACUCGCCUUCUUUCACCUCCAGAAACGCCUCUGUGCCCUUCAUCUCCAAUCACAGUCUUCGCAGCGCUGCGUAGGCCUAAUUGAUCGAUCAAGGCCUCAACUCUGGCUUUCUUUUUGGACUUGGAGAGGGAGCGAGGAAGCCUGAACUCAGCAGAGAACAUUAGCGUCUCUUCAAUGGUUAACAUCGGAAACAAGAGAUCAUCUUGCAUAACAUAAGCAGAUAUAACUUUCAAAAGCCUUGACUCCAAGACCUCACCGUUCAAACUCACAGACCCUUUCAAGCUUUCUUUCGAAAUCCGGUCUGCAAGUGCAUCGAUCAACGUUGAUUUACCUGAUCCACUAGCCCCAAGAACGGCCAUGAUUUCCCCUUCCCUGGCUUCUCCAGAUAUAU